UUCCGGUUGAUCCCGCCGGAGGUCACUGCUAUUGGGAUUCGAUUAAGCCAUGCGAGUCGAGAGGGUUCGGCCCUCGGCUGACGGCUCAGUAACACGUGGAUAAUCUGCCCUUAGGUGGAGGAUAAUCUCGGGAAACUGAGGACAAUACUCCAUAGGUUUAGGAGGCUGGAAUACAUCUAGACUGAAAGCUCCGGCGCCUAAGGAUGAGUCUGCGGACUAUCAGGUAGUAGUCAGGGUAAAGACCUGACUAGCCUACGACGGAUACGGGUUGUGAGAGCAAUAACCCGGAGACGAUAUCUGAGACACGAUAUCGGGCCCUACGGGGCGCAGCAGGCGCGAAAACUUCACACUGUGCGAAAGCACGAUGAGGGAAUCCCAAGUGCUUGCUCGUAAGAGUAAGCUGUUUUUCUGUCUAAAACGCAGAGAGAGUAAGAGCUGGGUAAGACGGGUGCCAGCCGCCGCGGUAAUACCUGCAGCUCAAGUGGUGGCCGCUAUUAUUGGGCCUAAAACGUCCGUAGCCGGUUUAGUAAAUGCCUGGGUAAAUCGUGUAGCUUAACUAUACGAAUUCCGGGUAGACUGCUAAACUUGAGACCGGGAGAAGCCAGAGGUACUCCUAGGGUAGAGGUGAAAUUCUGUAAUCCUAGGGGGACCAUCAGUGGCGAAGGCGUCUAGCUAGAACGGGUCUGACGGUGAGGGACGAAACCCUGGGGCGCAAACCGGAUUAGAUACCCGGGUAGUCCAGGGCGUAAACGCUGCUUGCUUGAUGUUAGUUGGGCUCCGAGCCCAAUUAGUGUCGGAGAGAAGUUGUUAAGCAAACUGCCUGGGAAGUACGGUCGCAAGGCUGAAACUUAAAGGAAUUGGCGGGGGAGCACAGCAACGGGUGGAGCGUGCGAUUUAAUUGGAUUCAACGCCGG
rnacentral:rRNA from 1 species